GGAAAACAGGCACCUGUGUAUCAGGCGGCAACAGCAGCACUGGAUCCAAGGGGUCAGUCGAGAAAACAGGUAGCAAACUAACCUAAAGGUCAGUCAAACUUAUUUGGAAGAUAAAAAAUGAAGGUAAACAGUAAAACAUAUUAUCCAAACUCUCCCCUGUAAGCAUCCAUCAGAGCUUAUAAACUGACUGCUUGGUUGGUUCAACUUGACCUGCUGCAGGGCCGUAGCCAGGAUUUUAGAAAUACUAGGUUAGAGAGUCCAAGUCCUCAUAAAUCAUCCCCCCUAAACAUAAAAAAAGAAAGUUGAUGUUGUUUCAAAGACCUCUCCACCCUGCCAGGAGUAAAACACUGUAUGUUGUGGUAAAAGUAGUCCAAUUUAAAAAUAGCCGGUAUAAAAACUCUGGAAUCUGCCUAAAACGCUUUGGCUUCCAGCCACAUGGCUACAACAUUUUCACCUUUUCCUUACUAUUUUGUAUCAGUUUGUAAGUUUAAUAAAAUUCAUGAAAAAAUAUAUAUAGAAAAGAACCCUUAUAAAUGGCAUUUUUACUUUUUUAAUAAUUAGAUGCAGGGUGAUAUGUUUGUUAUGGCCUUUUCACAUUGCCCUAUCCACCUGUGUACAGGGAUCAAAAUGUAGUGUAGAAACAUUUUACACCUUAUCACUUCCUUGUAGAUUUUUAUCUCGGUUUGCCACAUGUUCUUUGUUUCAUUUGUUUUACUGACAACACAACGAGAAUUCAAACAGAAUAGCAGAGGCAUGUUACAGUUAGCUAAUGGGAGGGUUUAGAUUAUAUAGUAGUUUAAUCUUUGCAACUUUGACAGCAGUUAAAUGAUUUUAAUUAGCUUUUCUUCUGUUACAUAUUCGUAGCAGUUGGUUAAAAAAUUAAACCAGAUACAAACAAGCACGGUAUAGUUCCUAUAAAAUUAGGAUUAUAUUUAUGUUAUUGGAUUUUAUUCUGAUAUAACAACCAGUGGUUGAUUACAAUUUGGAAGGUGACAUUCCCACUUGGCCGCUUAUUGUUUAAACUCAGAGAUAGUGAAAGGUUUAACAUGCUUGCAGUGAUGAAAAAGGCCACAUUGAAUUGAUUCAAAUCAGCUGCAAGUAGCAUCAUCAUCAUCAUCAUCUGACAUCGGCCGUCUCACCAAAGAGUAGCAGGUCGAGCCAUCACAUGAGAGAGAGGCCCCGGGGGUGUUCGGCACUGAGCCAUGCUGACACACUACAUGCUGGAGGAGCACACCUGCUGGGUUGUGGUCUCUCUCUCCCUUUACUCCCCCACCCCCCUCAAGUCUAUACCCAACCCGGUUUCCUGGCAGUGUGGUGACAGAGCCGUUGGGCUGCGUCUUUUGUUUGCGUUCCCUCGCCUUCCUCUUUUCACCGAGUGCUCCGGCAGAGGAAAGAUAGUUGUGGCAGAGCUCCCCUCCCCCCGCCCCCAGCAUCCACGCCUCGGCACGGCGCUACAUGCCAAGCGACCUGAGACGCUCCCUGACUUGAAGUUCAAUCCACUGACUUUUAUUGGCGCGACUGUUUAUCACUAACACCGCAGCCAAAGCACGCACCACGGCAGUUUAUUCAUUCAAACCAUAAUGAGGUGUUAAGUUGUUUUGGUCUGAUGGACGCAUCAAUCAUUAUCCUCGCAGAUUCAAAACACAUGACCAUUUAUAUUAUAACUAACAAUGACAGCUUUAAGAGCAUGGAUUAUACAGUAGUACGCAAUAAUCAAUGUUUAUGAUAUUAAUGAGAGCUCUCAGUUUGAGAUCACGUAGUGUGUGCAUGUUUGCCAAAGAUUAUCGCAGCAACUGCCAACACUGACAGUGUGUAAAUGGUUUGUCUUUCUGGCUUCUAACUUCUUGCUGUUGGAUCCGAUGGUGCCGUGCUUGAUUAUUUUUGCUUUAUUUUUUUGUGCACAAUGUGGAUGCGUAUAAAUAAAUAAAAUUACUAAAAGUUU